CAGAUUUUGGAAUAUUUGCAUUAUACUUAUCAGUUGAGCAUCCCAAGUUCAGAAAUCCAGAAUCUAAAAUGCCUCAAUGAAUAUUUCCUUUGAGUAACCUAUAGGUGCUCAAAAGUUUUGGAUUUGGAGUGUUUCAGAUUUUGGAUUUUCAGAUUUGGGGUGCUCAACCUGCUCAAACUCUUAUAUAUAGUGGUUUGGGAUAAGUUGUUGCCAAUGUCAUUGCAGCAGUAAUGGUAGGAAGAAUUCUAAGGUGGCCUUUCAGGAUUUCUGUCCCCAGUGCAUACUUCCUGUAUACUGUCUUCUCCUUCAAUGUGGGCAACUUGUGAAUAUGAUGGGAGAUCAAUCCCAGAGAUUAUUCUAAUUAAAUGAACCCUAUAAAAGAGGGACUGAGUGCUCCUUGAGGUUGGAGAGAUGCUCAUGCUGGAUUUGAAGAAGUCAGCUGCUGUGUUGUGAGACUGAAACAGCCCUUGGGAGGACCACAAGGCAAGAUCUACGGGAGCCUCUCAGAGCUAAGAGAUGCUGACCUUGCAUCCAGAAAGAAAGUAGAGGCCUCAGUCUUACAGCAGCAAGGAAUUGAAUUCAGUCAAGAUCUUGUGAGUUUGAAAGAGGACAUGGAGUCCUCUUCUAUCCCAUCAUCUCUUCUAUCCCAUCUAGGGAUGUUGACCUUGGCUGACAUCUUGAUUUCAGUGUGGGGAAGUAGCUAGUCCUUUGUUUUUCAAAAGGAACAGAAGUUUGUUUGAAUUCUGAUUUGGAGCUUCAAAACACAACAUCAUACAUCAAGAUGCAGGAUGUGUUGUUCUGCGAUUAAAUAAUUAUUCCUGUGAGUUCCCAGUUUUUCAUUUGCACUGCCUUCUAAAGAGGAGCCUGGCUUGUUAGCAGACUGCUCUUUUGGUUUAAUAACUAAGAACUGGAAGGAAAGGGAAGGGAAAGGAUGACAGGAGGCACUAAUGCCAGGGUUGGGGGGAUUUUGUUCUGAGAAAUUUGUUGUAGGAGAAUGAGAGUUCUUUCUGACCUGAAGGCAGGAUUCCAUAUUCCUGGUGUUAGGAACAUUGUCCUGCAUGUAGUUGGUAUUAAUGUAUAUUUUUAAAAUAAACUAAAUUUA
rnacentral:lncRNA from 1 species